ACUGGAGUUUGAUCCUGGCUCAGAUUGAACGCUGGCGGAAUGCUUUACACAUGCAAGUCGAACGGUAGAGGGGGCAACCCCUUGAGAGUGGCGAACGGGUGAGUAAUAUAUCGGAACGUGCCCAGUCGUGGGGGAUAACGUAGUGAAAAUUACGCGUAAUACCGCAUACGAUCUAAGGAUGAAAGCGGGGAUCGCAAGACCUCGCGCGACUGGAGCGGCCGAUAUCAGAUUAGGUAGUUGGUGGGGUAAAGGCUCACCAAGCCAACGAUCUGUAGCUGGUCUGAGAGGACGACCAGCCACACUGGAACUGAGACACGGUCCAGACUCCUACGGGAGCAGCAGUGGGGAAUUUGGACAAUGGACGCAAGUCUGAUCCGAGCCCAUUCCCGCGU
rnacentral:rRNA from 1 species